rnacentral:rRNA from 1 species
GCCUACGGGGGGCAGCAGUAGGGAAUCUUCCACAAUGGGCGAAAGCCUGAUGGAGCAACGCCGCGUGGGUGAAGAAGGUCUUCGGAUCGUAAAACCCUGUUGUUAGAGAAGAAAGUGCGUGAGAGUAACUGUUCACGUUUCGACGGUAUCUAACCAGAAAGCCACGGCUAACUACGUGCCAGCAGCCGCGGUAAUACGUAGGUGGCAAGCGUUAUCCGGAUUUAUUGGGCGUAAAGAGAACACAGGCGGUCUUUUAAGUCUGAUGUGAAAUCCUUCGGCUUAACCGGAGUAGUGCAUUGGAAACU